GAAAUGCGAUACUUGGUGUGAAUUGCAGAAUCCCGUGAACCAUCGAGUCUUUGAACGCAAGUUGCGCCCGAGGCCAUCAGGUCGAGGGCACGUCUGCCUGGGCGUCACACGCCGUUGCCCCCCCAAACCCCUUUCCCGCUCCUAGCCGGGGCGAGCGGGGACCGCGGGGGGCGGAGGAUGACCUCCCGUGCGCGCGCUUCGACCCGCGGUUGGUCCAAAAAUCGAGUCCCCUGUCACGUCGUCUUGGCAACAGGUAGUCGAUCGUUCGGUGCCACGGCCGUGCGCGUCGUGCACGUAUCGGGACUCCGACAGACCCCAGUGCGCCCGUCGCGGGUGCCUCCAACGCGACCCCAGGUCAGGCGGGGCUACCCGCUGAGUUUAA
rnacentral:misc_RNA from 1 species